CAGAGUGAAGCUAAAAUAGUAAAGCACCUCCCUUACACCGAGAAGACGCCCGUGCAACUCGGGCCGCCCUGA
rnacentral:tRNA from 1 species